GGGUUGUGAGGUUAAGCGACUAAGCGUACACGGUGGAUGCCCUGGCAGUCAGAGGCGAUGAAGGGCGUGCUAAUCUGCGAUAAGCGCCGGUAAGGUGAUAUGAACCGUUAUAACCGGCGAUACCCGAAUGGGGAAACCCAGUGUGACUCGUCACACUAUCAUUAACUGAAUCCAUAGGUUAAUGAGGCGAACCGGGGGAACUGAAACAUCUAAGUACCCCGAGGAAAAGAAAUCAACCGAGAUUCCCCCAGUAGCGGCGAGCGAACGGGGAGGAGCCCAGAGCCUGAAUCAGCAUGUGUGUUAGUGGAAGCGUCUGGAAAGGCGCGCGAUACAGGGUGACAGCCCCGUACACAAAAGCGCAUGUGCUGUGAGCUCGAUGAGUAGGGCGGGACACGUGGUAUCCUGUCUGAAUAUGGGGGGACCAUCCUCCAAGGCUAAAUACUCCUGACUGACCGAUAGUGAACCAGUACCGUGAGGGAAAGGCGAAAAGAACCCCGGCGAGGGGAGUGAAAAAGAACCUGAAACCGUGUACGUACAAGCAGUGGGAGCACCCUUUGGGUGUGACUGCGUACCUUUUGUAUAAUGGGUCAGCGACUUAUAUUCUGUAGCAAGG
rnacentral:rRNA from 1 species